GAUGAACGCUGGCGGCGUGCUUAACACAUGCAAGUCGAGCGAAGCGUUUUAAAGGAAGUUUUCGGAUGGAAUUUAAAAUGACUUAGCGGCGGACGGGUGAGUAACGCGUGGGUAACCUGCCUCAUACAGGGGGAUAACAGUUAGAAAUGACUGCUAAUACCGCAUAAGCGCACAGUGCUGCAUAGCACAGUGUGAAAAACUCCGGUGGUAUGAGAUGGACCCGCGUCUGAUUAGGUAGUUGGUGAGGUAACGGCCCACCAAGCCGACGAUCAGUAGCCGACCUGAGAGGGUGACCGGCCACAUUGGGACUGAGACACGGCCCAAACUCCUACGGGAGGCAGCAGUGGGGAAUAUUGGACAAUGGGGGAAACCCUGAUCCAGCGACGCCGCGUGAGUGAAGAAGUAUUUCGGUAUGUAAAGCUCUAUCAGCAGGGAAGAAAAUGACGGUACCUGACUAAGAAGCCCCGGCUAACUACGUGCCAGCAGCCGCGGUAA
rnacentral:rRNA from 1 species